rnacentral:rRNA from 1 species
AUGCUACCGUCGGCGAGGCCACUGCUCGCUGCCGCCGCCGUGCUAUGCUUCUGGCUGCUGGUGGCCGUGGCGGAGGCCAAGGUGCACCACUACACGUGGGACAUCUCGUACCAGUUAAAGUCCCCCGACUGCUUCGAGAAGCUCGCCGUGACCGUCAACGGCGAGGCUCCCGGCCCGACCAUCCGCGCCACGUUGGGUGACACCAUCAUCGUCGCCGUCCAUAACAAGCUCGAGACCGAGAACACCGCCAUCCACUGGCACGGCAUCCGCCAGAUCGACACGCCGUGGGCUGACGGCGUCGCCGGCGUCACGCAGUGCCCCAUCCUGCCCGGCGAAACCUUCACCUACAAAUUCGUCGUCGACAGGCCUGGCACGUACCUGUACCAUGCGCACUACGGGAUGCAGCGCGUGGCGGGACUCAACGGCAUGAUCGUGGUCACCGUGCCGGACGGCUUCGUCGAGCCCUUUUCUUACGACGAGGAGCACACCGUCCUCCUCGGCGACUGGUGGCACAAGAGCGUCUACGAGCAGGCCACAGGCCUCUCCUCCAACCCCUUCGUCUUCGUCACGGAGCCCCAGUCUCUCCUCAUCAACGGCAGAGGAAUGUUCAACUGCUCGCUCGCUCCCAGUGGAACGUGCAACGCCUCCCGCCCCGACUGCGCUCUGCCGACUCUCUUCACCGCCGUGCCGGGAAAGACAUACCUCCUCCGCAUCGGCAGCCUCACCUCGCUCUCAUCGCUCUACUUCGAGAUAGAGGGCCACUCCAUGAUGGUCGUGGAGGCCGACGGGCACUACGUGCGGCCGUUCGCGGUGAGGGGCCUCUUCAUCUACUCCGGCGAGACGUACUCCGUGCUGGUCAAGGCCGACCAGGACCCGCGGAGAAACUACUGGGCUGCGUCCCACGUCGUCGGCCGCAACCCCAGCCAGACACCGACCGGCAAGGCCGUCGUGAGCUACGCCUUCAACGGCAACAACCCGUGGAUGCCUCCGCCCACGGCGCCACCGGCUGGCCCGCCAUGGAACAACACGGCUAUCAGGGUGGAGCAGAGCAGGGCCAUCUUCGCGCACCCACGCUUCGUAGAGCCCAUGCCGGCGAGGGCCGACCGCACACUGCUCCUCCUCAACACCCAGAACCGGAUCGAUGGCCACAUCAAGUGGACCAUCAAUGGCGUGUCGCUCAUGUUCCCGGCCACGCCGUACCUCGUGGCGAUGAAGCGCGGCAUGAAAGACGCGUACGAGCAACGCCCGCCGCCCGACAUGUACGACCACAUGAGCCACGACAUCUCCGCGCCGGCGCCGACGAACGGGACCGUGGGCAGCCCGGUGUACCGGCUUGCGCUCGGCUCCGUGGUGGACGUGGUGCUGCAGAACUCCAACAUGCUCAAUAACAAGAGCGAGACGCACCCGUGGCAUCUCCAUGGUCACGACUUCUGGGUGCUUGGCCAUGGUGAAGGUAAGUUCAACCCUGCCGCGGACGCCUGGAGGCUGCUCAACGUGAGAGAUCCCAUCAUGAAGAACACGGUGCCACUGCACCCGGAUGGGUGGACGGCGGUGCGGUUCCGGGCGGACAACCCGGGGGUGUGGCUGUUCCACUGUCACGUGGAAGCUCAUGUGUUCAUGGGCAUGGGUGUGGUCUUCGAGGAGGGCGUCGAGAGGGUCGGCCGGCUGCCGUCGUCCAUCAUGGGCUGUGGACGAUCCAAGGGGCUGCACUGA